UUUUGCUUUUACAAAUGAGAAAACUGAGGCUCAAAAAGGCUAAGUCAUCUUCCCACGGCCACACAGCUGAUCAUUGUUCAGGGCUGAGUCUGUGCCUGAUUCUGCUGAGACCAUCAAGCCCUAAUCCACUCCUACUCAUCUCAUCUGUCUGAGUCCAUUGGGGGGCCUCACCGGCAUUCCCUGUUGUCUGUUUGGCUGGGGAGGGGAGUGUCUGGCAGCCUCAGCAGGAAAGAUGAGGGAGCAAUCUGAUCAAGACGGUCAGCGCAUUUUAUUGAGAGUGUCAAAGCAUCAGGCUUGUUUAGAGCCAGGAGUUGGGAUUAUUCCUAAGUUUUGGUUCCCCCACGGUCCUGGGUGGAUAUUUGCAUGGUAUGUCUGGGUUUGAAUUUCAGACUUAUUCUCGAUUUUUUAUUUCAGGAUCUAACUUGGCAAGAUGAGCACUCUGCCCCUUUCUCCUGGGAAACAAGGAGUCAGAUGGAGUUCAGUAUCUCCGCCCUAUCCAUCCAGGAGCCGAGCAACGGCACCACC
rnacentral:sRNA from 1 species